UGCGUAGGUGGUUUCUUAAGUCAGAGGUGAAAGGCUACGGCUCAACCGUAGUAAGCCUUUGAAACUGGGAAACUUGAGUGCAGGAGAGGAGAGUGGAAUUCCUAGUGUAGCGGUGAAAUGCGUAGAUAUCAGGAGGAAUACCGGAGGCGAAGGCGGCCUGCUGGACAAAUACUGACGCUGAGGCGCGAAAGCGUGGGGAGCAAACA
rnacentral:rRNA from 1 species